rnacentral:lncRNA from 1 species
UGUAAAUGUUCUCAAUGGUUUAUCAAACUGUUUACGUUUUAGAAAGUAUAGUUAUAUGUUAUGUUAAUUGAAGUUGUUACACCUUAUGACUAUUUUUAUACAUAAAAAAGGUACUGGCUCUUCAAUCCUAGAUUAUACAACACCAUAACCAAAGAUUUAGAUAUGGAACCCCACCAAAAUAAGGGGUAAAAGGAAGUGAUCCUAGAGUUGAGCCGUUCGUGCUCCACUAGUGGCACAUAAUCAUGUUGCACAAAAGUGUAUGAAUCUGUUAACGAAGAUUCUUGUGGAGAGUUGUCUCAUUGUCAAUCAUACCACAUCUUUUUUUUUUUAUUCCAAACAUAAGAUCAAAUAUGAAAUUGUUGCUUUUAUGCAAUCAAUUGUGAAACUGUUGCUUUUAUGCAAUCGAUCAAUUGUGAAACUGUUGCUUUUAUGCAAUCGAUCAAUUGUGAAACUGUUGCUUUUUGGCACAAAUCUCGGAGUUGAAACACAAUAAAAUAAGCAUCGUAUUUUUUGACAAAUAAUCAUCACAUAAGCUGUGGAAUCAAUCGACGACAUGGUAACCAAAGCUGCCACAUUGUCAUAGCUUUCCGCUGGAAGUAUGAUCCUUUGUUAAUCUUUUGUUUUAUAAACUUGUAUUCCAGAUCAUCACCACAACGUAGGUGAUAUGGACGGAAACAAAUUCCUUGAGGCACAUCUAUUCAUGUUACGCAAUUUCUUCCACUUUUUUUUUCAAAGGAUAGAUCUUUGAAAAAAAAACCAAUAAUCUAUGUCGUUCUUGUUAUAAAUUUCACAAAAUGUCAUGUUAUUCUGAGGUGCCUAUGUUAAGUAGAUAAUUUGAUAUUUAGAUAUUUAAGAAACCUGUAUCAUAUAGUUAUGCAUUAAUAUAGAAUAACAACAUUUAAUUUAUUAUAAUCUUGAAAGAUUCAAAGUUGUUAGUUUUUGGUUGUAUCUGUGAUUAUGCACGUGUUUGUACGUGCUUUGUUAAAUAUCAAUACAAGCAUAAUGGUCAUGUAAAUGAAUAAAUAACAGCCAUUGUAAAACAAGUUAAAUUAAAAUAUCAAAAACAAUGUGUUCAUAGAUUUAUUUUAAUGAAAGUAAAAGUGAUGGUAAGAGUAAUUAAAAGUUCUGUGAGUAUGACACGUUUGUAUGUCGUUACCAUCAACGGACUAGAAAUAUAAAAAUGACCGAAAGGAGACUUACGACUCAUAAGUCGAAGAAACAUUACAGGGCGUACAAAAAGAUAAAACCCAUCAGUCAAAACAUUUUACGGUAACAAUAUAAUUUCAAGAACUGAAAAGUCACUGACAAAAUAGAUGUUUUCAAUCAUGUCAGUACCAAGGCAUUGGCUGCUCUGAGGAUGUAUAUUUGUGAACUGAAAGUCCAUCAGCAACGAUACUAACUCAGCGGUUGUGAAAAAAAAUAAUUAUACAACAUGUGUUUCUUUUAAAAAUACACAGGUGAAAAAGUUUUUAAAAGCCAAAAUUAUAAAACAUUUCAAGACAUACAAACCAAACAAGAACAUUAAAACAGUCGAACACAGUCAGAGGGAGUUACAACCUUAUAUUUUGUACAAUAUCACAACAUGUAUUUUUUUAACUUGACGAUUUACAUCGGAAUGCACCGUUAAGGUCACGCUCGCCUUGUCACGUGACCUCAGUAACCAAGCACUAGCUACUCAUCGGAUUAUUACAAAAGUAAAUGAGAAAAUAAUAAUAUACAUAGAUAUAGAUAAAACAAAAACACUGAAGUAUUAACUAAUUUUCUUUCAAAUUGCCAGUUUAGAAUGAAUUUCAUAACAGUAUGGACAUGGACACCUGAUAUUUAAAUGAUAUCGUGUCGGUCACUGGCUGUCGACAACAAAGACUUCAUGCAAUUACAGUAUGUCGGGGCCUCUCAAUUGGGAUAUGAAUAAUUCCUUUUUUACACAUGUCCAUCCAUAAAACAAUUUUUUUUGCAUGAAAUUUUAUAGGAAUUUGUUUUGAAUAUAUUUAUAUUCUCACAGCAAAAAGUGUCUAUUGAAAGAAUGAAUAUAUUCUGAAGUGAUAUCACAAAGUAACCGAGAGAAAAAAAAGUAAGAAACAUUCUUUUCUGGCAAUAAGUGGAAAAUUUAGUAGUGUGUCAGUCAUAGACAAGUAGUCCAUUGCAAAUCAUUCAGUGGAUAGGUCAAUCGCCAAAAUAAAAAAAAAUGCUUUAUUUUUAAAGAAACACUAAUACAUAAAUUGACGGGGGCAUAAGUAUGAUAAAUAAUACAUGUUCGUACAAGGAAAUGGUACCGACCUGUUGAAUGCAGCUGUUCUGUUGAUUUGAAAAAACGAAUGGACGGAUCACACCGAUUUGAUUAAGAAUUGUACUUAUCUUUUUUAUUUGUGUUACAGUAUCUAUCCAUGAAUUUAAUAUGUUCACAAUUCCUUUUAUACUAGAAUAUUAAACGAGUGCACCCAGUGUAAAGGUUAUUAUAACACUGUUACUGUUUAACAGUAACUGUUAUGUUGACAUAAUAACCUGUACAUUAUCUCGUGUUACAGUCGACCAGUUUAGUCUUGUGCACAUGAUUUAUUAUUCCAAAACAGAUUUAUUGUGAACAUAUCAUUAAAUUCAUGGAUAUAUAUUGAAACAGAAACCGAAAAAUAAGUGACAACAAUUUCAAAUUGUAAGGGGGCGAUCAUUCCUAAUUAAUUUAAAAUAAGGGAAGGGUGGCUAUGUGAGAGGCUUUCGAAAUCAUCAUGAAUAAAAUUACAAAUGAACAUUUAUGCAGAAUUGUCACAAAUACGCGUCCUCAAGUAACAACAACAAAAAAACGAGUAAGACCUGGCAGAUUCAUUGGAAUUAUUACCUGCUUAAUUUGUAGUAAAAGAAUAUAAAUCCCGUAACUUUUGUUAUACGUGUUCAGGCAUAACAAAAUCUAAAAUAAACACAUGUAUCAAUGUUUCCACCAAAGCUACUCUGACUCCAAUCAACGUAAAUUUUGCCCACAAGACUGGAUAUAUGCUUCUUGAUAUUUUCACGAGUUAUUGUUUGUUAGAAUGAUGUUUAAAUGUUCACGAAAAUCUGAUCGUUGAAGUCUACGACGGGAAUUCAAAUUUGUUCCGUGCAGCCCGGAGGACUAAAAUAAUUUUUGAUGAAGGUCCGGGGUUCUUAUUACCAACACAAAUAAUCUUAGUAUGAAAGUUGAUCGUAGAUUACUCUACAUUAACUCGUACGAAUAAAUGUUUUCUCAUUUUUUUAAGGAGCCACAGAUCGUUUUUGAAAGAAAAAACUACGUUUUUUCUCUAGAUUACUUGGUGAUAUCACCUCUGAAUAUACUCAUUCUAGCAAAAGAAACUUUUUGUAGUGAGUAUAUAAAUAUAUUAAAACAAAUUCCUAUAAACUUUAAUGCAAAAACUUUUAUUUUAUGAAUGAUCAUGUGUAAAGAUAGUAAUAAGUUAUAUCCCUAUUGACAGGCCCCUGACAUACUGUAAUUGCGUAAAGUCUUUGUUGUCGACAGCCAGACUGAGUGAUACACACGAUAACAUUUAAUAACUGUGUCCAUGUCCACGCUGUUAUAUAUCAAUAUCGAUGAGAAAAUGGCGGCAGGAGUAGGAGUCAUGAAAAAUUGUGCAGAGACUAAAAGUAUUAUCAUGAAGUUAUAAGUGGUUUUAUAGCACAAUGAUUAGUUAUUUUGUGAGAACAUUAAUCGAACUGAUGAUCUAACUACAUUAUGAAGAAUUUUAUCGGGUAUGAAUAAUAAUAAACGAAAAACAACAGAAACUCCUUCUCCAAACACUUAUCUGGACUGAAUGUUUUAUUAUCUUAAUGUAUGUGGUUUACAGUCUAAACUAAAUUUACUGAAUUUUCAAAUAUCUUUCAAACAUAUGAUGUAUUAGUUUUUGUUGAAACUAAAUUAGAUGAUUUAGAUAAAAUUGAUCUUAAUGUAUUUCAUAUGUAACAAAGAAUAGAAAAGGUGCAACUAUAUAAAGUCAGGUGGAAUAGUAAUUAUAUACAAAAAUAUUUUGAAUCAGUACAUCAGUUUUAUAGAACGUGAAAGUCAAUAUGUACAGUGGUUUAAAUUUCAAAAAUGUCUUCUAAACUGAAAAAGAUGUCUUAUUUGGUGCUGUUUAUAUACCACCGGAAAAUUCCAAAUAUGCAAAUACUGAUGCAUUUGAAGAAAUUGAAAAUGAAUUAUUGACAUUUGCUGAUACAUUUAAUUCAUUUGUCUCUCUUAUUGGAGAUUUUAAUGCAAAAACGGAAACACGAGAUGAUUUUAUUGUGCCUGAUGAGUCAUUGAUUGGUAUUUUUGAGUUAGAAAGUGAUGAUGAAAUUUUAUCAUAUAUGUUAGAUUAUGAACAAUUGAAGCUUCAAAAUAUACCGUUAUCUCGAAUAUCAGAGUGUCAUUGUCAUAUUUAUAAUUAUGGNNNNNNNNNNNNNNNNNNNNNNNNNCCUAUUUGAUUUUAUGGCGCCCAUAGAACAUAAUUUAGUUUGUACGUGACGUCAUAACGUUUUUUAUGUUCUACGUUUAAUGGAAUUGUGAAUAAAGGUUUAAAAUGAAUUAGUACUUAAAAUACUUAUUUCUGUCUCUUCAAAUAACAUAAAAAAUGUGUGCUGCUAAUGCGACUGCGGUAUUUCGCAGUUGCACCAUUUUUCAUGUUAGUUUCUUAUAGACAGUGAAAAAUUACAGUAUUCCUAAUGCUAUAGAUUAGUAACAUAAGUAUACAGGAAUCUAAUAAUUUUGAUAUUAAUUAUUGCAACCUGAUUAAAAUAGGAUUUUUUGCUUAGUACGAGAUCGAAAUGUAUAAUCAGGAAAGUUGAAAUUAUUAACAGAGAAAAAUAUGGUAUGGGCGGCAUUAGCUUUGAGUAUGUAUAGAGACAAUUAUAUAAUACUGCACUUAACUUUAUUGUUUUGUUUAGAUAGAUCGUACUGAAACACAAUUUUAACAUACUUGUUUGAUCCGUCGCAAUUUAUUGUCCAAAAGAAACGAUGUUUGAUAUAUAGGUUAGUCAAUUAUGAAAUAUUUACUUGCAUAUGUAACAUCUUUAACUAACUUGAAAAGUGUGAAAUGGAAUAAAAUUGUUUAAUCUAUAUUUUAGACUGCUACAUCAUGCAAGUCUAAUGAUUACAACUAAAGGGGGUCGUUAAUGCAGCAUAUGACAACAUGGAAUUCACGUCGCAGAUGAAGCUUACGGUAAAUUACGAGUUUGUAUAUUUAUGUUCAAUACCACUUGAUGUGUAUUCAGAAAUUUAAGUUCUCUAAUAUAAAUGAAACAAUAUCGUUUUGCUUUAAGCAAUAAUUUCAAAUGAUAAGAAAAGUAAAUAUUUUUUUGUCUUGUUAACGUACGUCAAUUAUGCAAAAAGGUUGUGUACCUUUAAAUCGAAAAUAUGGUUUUUAAUGGUUAAAUAAAUGCAAAAUGACAAAUCUAUAUAUUUUAUUAUGUUGAUUUUCGUAUUCAGAAAAGAUGUCUGAAGCCAAAUACCAAGGAGUGAGCCGAACAGUUGGCAGACAGCUAGAAGGUAUAAGAGAGGGUGAUCUUUAGCUUGGAUCUCAACCAGAACUCAGUCAUCAUCUCAACGAUGACGAAUACGUCACAACCAAGCCUUUGUCCCUCCAUAUUCAUCACAAGAACAUUACUUACUAGAUAGAUAUAGAUCAAAGAGUGAGGCAUUAAGAAAAGAAUGAACAUGAAUUGAAACAUGCAAAGGCAAUAUAAAUGCAGAAGCAAGUGUAUACGGAUCUAUAUAAGAAUAAAAGGAAAAACAAAGUAUUCAAUUAACUCGACAGUGAAGUAAGAAACUGCAUCAACACUAGAAGAACAGAUCCCUCAAGAAAGGAUGGACAUACAAAGCCAACUAUUAACAAAACAUGAGAUUAAGAUAGACCGAACUUCAAGUUCAACUGAACUUUUUCCCCAAAAAAAUCGAAGCAGUAUAUAAAAUAAGACCAGACUAUCCUGCAUUUAACCCUUAAAAAAACAAACGCCGAACUGCUCGAAUGAUUUAAGGAUAUAUAGAAGGACAUAUACAAAAAAAUACCAUGUUAAAUAUAUUGUUCAUGUCAGACUGUUUGCUGAUGAUACCCUGGGGAGUUUCACCAACCGCAAGUAAAACAGUUUCACCAUAAGCGAUUUCCCUUGCCGAAUCAUUUACUUCAUGUUACAUUUAAAAAAGAAGAAAGGAUAACAUUAUAAGCAGAUGGUUUUUAAUAAAUAUUCGUUGUGUCAAAUGUUAUCGUGAACAUUAAGAAUGAAACAAUAGGACACAUGAAGUAGGGAAGAACAUCGAAAUGGUUCCGUUCUUUGAGCUUUGACAUCAGGGAUUACUUAAUCAGUCCUUUAAUUUUGAUGGUAGUUGUUAAUUUUGUUUCAGAUAUAAGUUUCCAAAGAAAUGAAAAGACAAUAUUACAAACACAUGUUACUAUAAAUAAUGUAUACAAGAAAAAAAACAGAAUAGUCAUGUGUUUCUUAAAUAUAUUGCCAUGUCUCGAUAUUGAAGAGUUAUUUAAACCAGAUCAGUUAUUUCUACCAAGCUAAUAUCAACAAUCAAUCCAGAAUACUACGGCAAGGUUGUUAUGUAUAUAAAUGUCAGCUAUCAGUAUAUUCAAUAUCGGGAAAAAUUCUGGAAUUUCUGUUUUAUAAUCACUUAAGUGGUCAAACCUUUUCGAAAAUUAUAGAAUAUGGGCAGAAGUUUGUAAUGACAAUAUUUAGAAAUAAGCUCAAAUAUAAUAAUGAUUGAUGUUGCACAACAGGUGUUGAUUAGAUAUUGCGUUGUUCCUUUGAAAAACGAAAUAGCUUACAUAUUGUAAACACAUUUUUGUGUUCAUUUAUUCUAUUUCUGGAAUUAAUUAUUGUUUAUUGCAUCGUCUAUUCAUUUCAGGGUAUUCAAAAUGUGUGUGAACCCAUGGGAGAAGAUACAGGUAAGUAUUAUAUACAUAUGCAGUCGAGUCAAGAAAAGUGUACUGGUGUUGACAGCUUUAACCAACCGAAUAUGAUAUUUUUUUUAAAAUUCAACUUUAUCUCUAUUGUUAAAAAAUAUUUGCAAUUGUUUGCUUUCAAUGUCUACUACGUUGUAAUUGAUCACAUUCCAUAUAGUUAAAUAAAAUCGAUUUCAAUAGUCCAUAUUAAUGAUUUACAAUUUAGUUCAGACUGAAGUCAUGAUGAUUUGGACAACACUUUAAAUGUUCAUCUGAUACAAAGCCAGAACCUGAUGCAAAGAGUAUAAAUGUGUUAUCUAGACCUUUUGUCAAGAUAUACUUACUUCCGAAAGUGGUGAGAAAUGUUAUGCCCCAAUAUUAUGGAUUAUUUUUCUUGGUCGUCGUCGUAUCUCGUUUCGUCUGUCCCGCUUCAGUUAAAGUUUGGUUGAAGUUUUUGUCGAGGUAUUUUUGGAUGAAGUUGGAAGUCGAUCAACUUGAACUUAGUACAGGCAUGUUCUAAUAAACCUUUCUAAGUUAAUUGCCAAAUUAGAGAUUUCCUGGGUCACUGAAACAUCCGAAAAUGGGUAGUGAGGAUGGGCAUCCGUGUAUUGUGGACAACAUUCUUUGUUUUAUUUUUAAUUUUUGAUGACAGUCGGGAAAUUUGGAAAAGGAGACAAUAUGCUCCAUGGAGUUAGUUCAACGGGAACACGCGUUAAGUAUUGAUAUUAUGCAAAAUUCUCUCAUCAUUUACAAAAGACAAAUCGUAAGAUAUGGUUUCUUCUGCUGUGAAGACUCAUAUGUUGGCUCAUGGCAUCUUAUGUUCUUGUUGUCUCUUUUAAAUAUUCCCGAUCUAUUUCAGCUAUUCGGUAUUUUCAAGAACUUACCAUGUAUGAUCUGUUCACAUAUAUAUCGAAUCCAUUCUAGAUUUGUUUUUAUGAAAAAAGAUAUAUCUGAAACAUGUAUUUAGAUAUAAUUUCUUGUUUUUACAAAUACACCUUGAUAAAAGUUACUUUACAUUUGUUAGCCUUUGAAUAAGAGAACAGAUCGAAACAUAUAUCACGAACUUUGAAUUCUCAUAUGCUAUCAAACUUAUGGUUUCAAGAUUUACAUGUGCGGACUUCAAGAAUAAAUGUUAGAAAUAACAGUCUGGGAUUAUGACAGAUUUAAACGACAUGAUUCCUUGGGAGAAGUCAUCAGUGUGACUUGUCAGGUAUGGUGUUGUCAUUAUCAUCUGACUUUUUUAACAUCUUGAAACAAUUAUUUCUUUGUUAUUACUGUGUUAAAGAGUAUAAUUUGAAUAGUCGACAAGUGUUGAUUAUUUCAUUUUCAGUUUUAUUUAACCAAAGUACGUUAAAAGAUCAAUGUGUGCAUUAAACAUGCUGAAGGAACAGAGAUUAAGAAACACAUUAUAAAAGUGAAAUUUCCUUCUAUUGUUAGUCAAUGUGUGUAAUGUGAUAAUAUGGCAAGUUAGGGUAUCUUUUACAGAGAACAUGACGUCACAACAUGGUGUGGAGAUUACCUAAGCCUACACUUUACCAGCUGAAUACGUGGGUGCAUCAGACAUGAAGACUGUGUCCAUACCCACCUGUAGUGUAAUUCUCAGGGAUCACCAAACCAAUCGUCAGAAGGUAGAAGCGUGUGACAAUGUAUAAAUUGUGGACUAUCAAAUGUCAGAUAGAUUUUUCAAAUUUUUUGACUCAGUGAUUUAUGCAAGUAAAUAAAUAUGAUAAGAAAGUGCCAGUAUUUUCUAAGAAUUAGUAUAUUUAAGUCAAUUCACUUCAUUCAUUCUAUUUUGUGACACAUAACAAUAAUAAUCAAUUUGCGCUUAUGAACCAAUAACUAAAUUCAAAUAUCUAAUUUUAUGGAUACGAAAUAAUUAUUGUAAACAAUUAAACUUAUUCUUCAGUGAAAUCAUGAAUAAAGAAACGGCAAUAAUUAGGAUGACAAAAAAAAAAAAAUGAUGAAUACAUGGUACCCCGUAAUAUACUGUACUAGUACUAACGUAAUCAGUAAAUUGUUUUUCUAGUUGCCGACAAACAAGAGUGAAGGAAUGGGGCGACGUCGACGUUCGUUAGGGACACUGACUGAUACGGAUCGUAUGUAUAUAGUGCACAAGCUGCUUACAUGCUUACAUCCCUUGGCUUAAUGCUUAGCUUAUGUCAUACUUCAUGCUACGUUUAAAAUCAUCUCGCAAUAUUUAGGUCAUGUAAAAUAUUUUUCAGGUUCCCAACUGAUACUGAUUUUUUUUAUUAUAAUUGAUGAAUGAGGGGGUCAAUGAUAACUUCACCUGGUAUUUUUAUUCCACUAUAUAUUUUUAUUGCUGAAGAAUAAGGAUAGAGUGAAACAGUCGUAAAAGUCAAAGACGGACAUACAACACAACAAAUAAAAAUACAAGACACAAAAGACAAACAGUAGAAUUUAUAAACAAAACGUUGAUGUUAGAUACUUUUUAGAAUAUGUUAAAAAUUUGGAUUUAACAUUUUCUACCACGGACUUCAACGUUGUUAAAAUAGAUUUUGUUUUGUAUAUCUGAAGUUUGUAGGCAGUCGUUAUCCCUUUUGAGCGUAUCAGUAUAAUGUAUUUGACGACCAACAAAGGCAAAUUAAUCCCUAAAGAGUUGCAAAUACUUCAAAUUCUGUUGGAUUUGUCGUUCUUUGAUUGAUCUGUCAAAUAUCAAUUAGUAGAAUUUAUUACAAUUUUGAAAGUAUUUUCUUUUGCAAAUAGAAAUAAAAGGAAACUUAAAAUACAGAGCUGAUUUUAAUUUGAUAUUGAGACGGUAUCUAAGAGACUAUUUGUCAUGGCCUUUAAAAAAAAGUUAAAUCGCAAAUAUACCGAACUCUUAGAAAAAUUCAAAACGGAAAGUCCCUAAUCAAUUGUCAAAAUCAAAAACUCAAACGAAUGGACAACAACUGUCAUAUUUAUGACUUUGUAUAGACAUUAUCUUAUGUAGGAAAUGGUGGAUUAAACCUUGUUUUAUAGCUAGCUAAACCUCUCACUUUAAGUUAUUGUAAUUAAUAUUAUUUAAUGAAAACUAAGAAUGUUUGUUUUACCAAAUUAUGAAAAUUCCAAAUUGUACAUUCAGUAGUAUACAUAAGUAAACUUCAUUGUUUUAUCUAUACUUCUACUCAUUACUAAUAUAUGAUAUUACAUGUCAGCUUUAUAACUGAAACUGUGCACUGCAUUUAAACGUAUAAUCUGUUACUUAUUGUACAAUUGACCGUUUCAGAAUCUAUAGGUCUAUUGGUAGCUUUCAUUGUUCACAAAAUUGACACCAAAAUGAAAAUAACGCCAUGGAUUUGGUUGAAUUUCAAUUGUUUAUUACUUUUUAACCAAUCACGACGUUUUGGUGUACGCUUUUGAAAUUUUUCAUGAAUGCAUUAGAUUCUGAAACGGCGUAUUAGGCUUAAUGUACAAACUGUACAAAGCAUACAUUUACUUCCUCUCUAUAGGUCUUUCUGCCUCUGACUCCACAGACGUAUCUUCUGCACAUUCUUCACCUCUUCUACGACACAACUCAAAUGACAUGCCACUUACUGCGGCACUUACUACGUCACAUCCUGGUAACGUAACCCAUUGUUUCAGUGGUGUGUCGCACGUCAUGUUCUUAGCACGCCAUUUCAUCCAGAGAAUUCGUUCUACUCGCAUUUCCCGUCGGCUUACUUUCAAGAAAAAAAAUGAUGAAAGGUUAUUGUUAAAUGACUGUUGUUUUGAUUUGCCGUUCUCUAUAAUUUCUAUUAUUUAAAGAUUUUUUCAUCUUUCUGCUUGAAUCAUAUAUUAUGAAUUAUUUGUGAAUCAAUUUCUUUUCUUUAAAGCCGUAUGAAAUUAUAUUUUAAAGAUUUCGAAAUCUUUCAGUCUUUUUUCUUGAAUGAUAUAAAUAUAGAAUCCUGAUGACAUUUUAUUUAGUAGUUUGUUAAGCAUGAAAUUUGUAGGACGUUUUGUAUCCAGUAUUGUUUUCAUAUUUAUUUAAUAUAUAAGCAAUUGAUUUCUUUUAGACUAGAACACUUGUUGAAAGGAUGAUAACACGAACAACAGCAUGCCAUAUAUAACUUUGUAAAAAUCCUUGUCAACAUGAUUAGUAACAUUAGUAUAUUCAUGUUUUUGAAUGUUUGCAUGUAUGUGUAAUUGAGAUCAAAUGCAUAUAUUUUAAUAAAGCCAAAAUGCAUAUAUUUUAAUUACGCCAAAAUGCAUUUAUAUUAAUUAAGCCUAAAGGCAUAUAUUUUAAUUAAGCCAAAAUGCAAAAGUUUAUUUGGUGAUAAAACAGUUGAUAUUGCAAAUAGUUGUAAAUGAUAUAAAAACAUUCAGUUUAAAGAAAAGUAGAUGUGGGUUGAUUGUCAAUGGGACAACUAUCAACCCAAGUUUAUAUUAAGUGCAUGUAAGCAAUUAUAAGCAACCUUUGUCAAUUUUAUUUUUCUAAACAGAACUGAAAUAUAUCAAUAAGAAAGUAACUACACAUUUAAUUUAGAGAACAAUUGAAUUAUAUUAAAAAUAAUAAUAGAAUUAAUGUAGCAUAAAAUUUUUGAGAUAUAUGAAAAGUUAUAAACGAUACUACACCCAUAAUCAUAUAAUGUUAUUUUUAUAUUUUUUAUGUACAUCAUAAACACAUUUUAAGUUUGAUAGAACUAUUUAACAAGAGUAUUUAACGCUUUGAAGUUGUCGACAUUUAUAUUCGGAAAUAGUUUUUAAAAUAGUUGGGUAACAUAUACUCUCAAAUCACUGUCCUUAACAUUGGAUCAAUUGAAUACUUUAUUUUGUAUAUCCUUUAGAAAAACUGUGUUUUCUGUCUGUGGGAAUAAGACACAAUGCAAUUAAUGGUCACCUUUUGUGUGUGCAUUUUAUAACGAUCACACUGUAUAGGAAGUAAAACAAAUGCUAACUUAUGAAAUAUGAAAUGAUUUUUAUUUUCGAUUACAAUUUACAAAUAGAACUACAAAUGCUUAAUUUUUUUAGGCUUAAAAACAUUUUUGUUCAGCAAAUUGUUCUAAAGACAGUACCGCUUUUGUUAAAUCAAAUCCUCCUACAGUUUUCAACCUAGACCCUUGUAUGUUCUGGGGUGUACUCAGGUGCCCCUUCAGGGUUAGCUAUUACUUCUCUAGUAGUGGCACUUAUCCUCCUCAUUGCAAAUUAAAAUGAAAAAUUGCAUUCGAUCACAAUCGAAAAAAAGAAAACGGGAGUGUUUUACGUCCAGUAUAUCAGUGGUUAUCUAUGACACAAAUGUUCCAAAAUGGUCAAUCAGAUCAUUAUGGCGUCCGUAAAACAUUCCAAGGAAUAAUUUGACUUUGCCAUUUCGAAGCCUAUGUGCAAAAGCCUUGUUAGAGGUUAUUAAAAAAUAUAUAAGAGGAUACGCAAGCUCAUACACAGAAAAUUUCAAUAGAAAAUUAAAAUGAUCUGUGUUGUCGUAAAGUUUAGUUUUCAUCCAACUCUUAUUGUCAAUUCUACAUGAUAGUCAAGAUAUGAAUCAAACGUAACUAUAUAUGUGGUAUCCUUUAUUUCAAAUUCAUCUUUGGUUGGUUAAAAUCCCAACGGAAAAUCAAACCAACCUAUUUCCACAUUAGUAAGUUUAGUUGUGGUGUAAGUUGGAUUUCACAGUGAAUUAUCAACACAUUAUUCAAAGAAAGAUUACAUUUGAAAUGUUUUUCAAAAAAAAAAAAGAAAGAAAAUUGUGAAAUUUUAUUCAAGGAAAACCAAAAUAAACAUUGUUUGUCAAAUUCAUUAAAACUUGACAAUAAAAAGAACAACAAAACUAUUGUACAUUGUACCACCUAAUUGCCUUUGCUUUUUUAUAAUUAUUACUGUAAUAACAUAAUCAUCUAAGUAAUAUUUUUUAAUAUAAAAUAUUAGCAUAACAAAAUGUACUAAUUGAUUAAUACUGUUCUCGUUUUAGGAGUAUGAACACAUACUGGAGAUAUCAGUCUUUCGACUAAGCAUCAGUUAUGGUAAGCAUAUGCAGAAAUGCUAAAUAUACGAUAAAAAACAUCUAUAAGUAGAUCUCGCUUACCCUGUCAACGCUACCGAUCUCGCUCCUUUUGGAGUUUAUUCGAUUUCCUCAGUUAAUGUUUGUUACCUUGAGUUGUCUUCUCAAUCGAUUGACGAUUAAUGAGAUUUGAACAUCGGUAAACUACUGUUACCUAUAUUAAAAGCUCUCCGAAAGUCCUUGAUAGUACAUUUUUGUUUUGUUGAUGGAGACGGGAUCGGUCAGGAAACCACCAAUAAAUCUCAGAUGGUCAAAUGCAUCAUGCCAUUUUGCUAUGGUUAUAGACAGUCUCAAGUCGUCAUUUUAGUACCGACUAACUGAAAUGUAUUGUACAUCUUCGUGUCCCAAUCGACCACUGAUGUCCUUUGUACCAUUUGAAAUGUUUUUUUUUCGAUGAUUUAGUGUUGCAAAGAGAACGCAAAAAAGGACGCCAGUCAAUAUUUUAUAAUUUGGUAGAAAAUAAUUCAACGAAUUCAAAUUGCAAAUGAUUGAAUUGAAGAUCGACAAAACAAAACACUGUUUCAUAGAUUCGUAUUUUUCAGUAUGUAUGUGUAGAUUUUGUAUGAUUGAAAAGGGAAAGUAAAUGAGAGAGCAACCAAAACGUACAUGUAUUAGACUUCGACAUAAAAUUCCAUGCUUAGUGCGUUAAAUGAAAAAUCAAAGUAUAUAACAGGAGGUGACUACACGGCAGAUCUGAAAACAAGAGCAUUGUCACCAUAUUGAUAUAAUGAUAUAUGGAUAUUGCAAAUAUAUAUAUAUUUUGUUAUGACAAACUUUUGCACCAAGAACGAUUUACAUAGAAAUGGGUAUAGCCGUUUUUUGUUGUAAUUUUAAAAUUAACAACGUUGUGACGUAGGUAUUUACUUACAUUUUUUAUUUCCAAAAUAUUUUCGUUAACUAUCAUUAACUUCAACUCUGUAUUAGGUUUUUUUUAAAACAAGAAUAAAAAAACACUUUUUACACAGAUAGUACUUUUGGAAGAAAAACAACUUUUGCAGCCCUCUAAAAGGAGAUAUUAUUUUGUACUGGAGAACGAAAAAGGUAAUCUUGACCUCUAAAUGUCGUUUUGUGAUGUGCGUUGCAUUGUUGCUGUUGCAUUGGCGUUUAAUGCACUUCUUAUUAUUAAUUUUUUUUUCUUUUCAGGUGCAUACACGAUAUUUUUAUCUGUGAUAUAGCUGAAAACUAUAAGCUGUUACACGUUCAUCUUUGUAUUUUGGGGAGACAUGUCUCUGGUGCCAAAGUAGUUUGAUUGUAGUCUCAAAAACUUGGUAGCUAAUUUUAUUGCCGCCAAAAUUCAAGAGAGACACAAAUUUUCAAAUCAUUUAUAAAAAUCAAGUUACAAUUUGUUAGUUAUAAGCAUCGACUUUGAUUCUAUAGCAUUUUUUUAUGUUUUGCUCUUUAACAGAACAUUUCUUUGAGUCAUGUUAACUGUUCAUAUACAUGGAUAUGAGUCUUAUUCGAUACUGCGAAUAUUAGAAAGUGUCAAAUGCUUCCUUUGCUUUUUUGACAUUCUACCGAUAUAAAUGUUCUCAAUGGUUUAUCAAACCGUUUACGUUUUAGAAAGCUUAGUUAUAUGUUAUGUUACUUGAAGUUGUUACACCUUUUGACUAUUUUUAUUCAUAUAAAAGGGUACUGGCUCUUCAAUCGUAUAUUAUACAACACCAUAACCAAAGAUAAAAACACAGUACACACUAAACUAAAGAUUUAGAAAUGGAACCCCACCAAAAUAAGGGGUAAAAGGAAGCGAUCCUGGAGUUGAGCCGUUCGUGCUCCACCACUUGCUCAUAAUCAUGUUGCACAAAAGUGUAUAAAUCUGUUAACAAAGAUUCUUGUGGAGUGUUGUCUAAUUGUCAAUCAUACCACAUCUUCUUUUUUUAUAUUCCAAACAUAAAAUCAAAUGUGAAAUUGUUGCUUUUAUGCAAUCAAAUGUGAAACUGUUGCUUUUUGGCACAAAUCUCGGAGUUGAAACACAAUAAAAUAAGCAUCGUAUUUUUUGACAAAUAAUCAUCACAUAAGCUGUGGAAUCAAUCGACAUGGUAACCAAAGCUGACGCAUUAUCAUAGCUUUCCACUGGAAGUAUGCUUCUUUGUUAAUCUUUUGUUUUAUAAACUUGUAUUCAAGAUCAUCACCACAACGUAGGUGAUAUGGACGGAAAACAUUUCCUUGAGGCAGAUCUAUUUACGUAACGUAAUUUCUUCCACUUUUUUCAAAGGAUCGAUCUUUGAAAAAAAAGAAUAAUCUAUGUCGUUCUUGUUAUAAAUUUCACAAAAUGUUAUGUUAUAAUUCUGAGGUGCC